GUGAAUCAUCAAAUUUUUGAACGCAAAUCGCACUCUCUGCGGAGAGUAUGCCUGUUUGAGGGUCAGCCUAAAAAAAAUCAACGUAGUAGCUGUUUCUCUGUUACAUUCGUAGGAAUUUGGGGCAUCUUAAACCGUUGGGUUUUUUAAGCGGCUUAAUAUUUUCUUUACGAUUACACGAACUUUUAUAAUAUUUUAAUUUCUACACACUUUUAC
rnacentral:misc_RNA from 1 species